GUACACUCCUGCGGGAGGCAGCAGUGGGGAAUUUUGGACAAUGGGCGAAAGCCUGAUCCAGCCAUGCCGCGUGCAGGAUGAAGGCCUUCGGGUUGUAAACUGCUUUUGUACGGAACGAAACGGCCUUUUCUAAUAAAGCGGGCUAAUGACGGUACCGUAAGAAUAAGCACCGGCUAACUACGUGCCAGCAGCCGCGGUAAUACGUAGGGUGCAAGCGUUAAUCGGAAUUACUGGGCGUAAAGCGUGCGCAGGCGGUUAUGUAAGACAGUUGUGAAAUCCCCGGGCUCAACCUGGGAACUGCAUCUGUGACUGCAUAGCUAGAGUACGGUAGAGGGGGAUGGAAUUCCGCGUGUAGCAGUGAAAUGCGUAGAUAUGCGGAGGAACACCGAUGGCGAAGGCAAUCUCCUGGACCUGUACUGACGCUCAUGCACGAAAGCGUGGGGAGCAAACAGGAUUAGAUACCCUAGUAGUCCCAUGA
rnacentral:rRNA from 1 species